UCCAUGAGGCCAAGCAGGAGUCUGUGGACCAAGAAGUGUCAGCCUUGACUCUUGGGCAGCCAGCUCUGUGCUGCUCGGAACCUGAAUUGGAGAGAGGGGCUGGGUGCAGGGGCACUCACUGACCCACUGAAACUGGGCCUCAGGAGUCCAAGAUUUCCAUCCUGGUGCUACCACUUUCUUACAACCAUUUGGAGGAAAAUCUUUCCCAGAAGUCUCCCACACAGUCUCAUUCAAGUCCCGUUGGCCCAAGAUGGGGGUCACCUGCCAGUGCCCCAGCUGCAAGGGGGGAGGCUGGGAAGGGUCUCACUACGUUGUCCAGGCUGGCCUUGAACUUGCGAUCCUCCUGCCUCAGCCUCCUGAGUCUCUGGGAUCACAGGCGUGAGCCACGGUGCCUGGCUAUGCCUCGAAUCCUUCUGCUGGGCCUCCACUCUCCCUUAGAUCACCGUGACACCUGCCAGUCCAUCCACAGCCGAGUCUCCCCGUGGUUCACCGUCCACGCCCUUGGCUACCAGAGGAACUGUUCUAAAACCCAAGGUCUUGGCUUGGAACCCUUGGAAGACUUCACACCCUCCAGAGGUUGCUCAAGACCAUACGAGUCAACUGUGCCUCACUGGGGCCAAAACACCUGACGGGAACAACUUAGAGGAGGAAAAGUUUAUCGGGGGGCUCGCAGUUUCAGAGGUUCGGUCCAUGGUGAGCCAAGUCCAUUGUCCUGGGCCCGGGGCAGAACAUCAUGGCGGGAGAGUGUGGUGGAGAGCGGUCCACUCCCGCAGCCAGGAAACAGGGAGAGGAGCCAGGGACAAAUAUAUCAUCCCCGAGGUCAUGCCCCCAGCGACCUAAUUCCUCCGGCCCCACCCCAGCUGCCUACAGUUACCCCCAGCAGAGCCGUCCUUUCAAAUUAUUAAUCCAUCAACUGGCUCAAUCCCCUGAUUAGGUUACAGAUCUCCUGAUCUAAUCAUUUCCACCCUCAACAUUUCUGCCUCGCACAGGAGAUUUUUCCAGAUACCCCACGUCCAGACUAGAACAAAGACCUUUUGUAACAAGGCCCUGGGCUGCAUGGCUUGUCCUGCCUCCCCCCAACCCUCCCUGAGAUACCCCUGUGCACCCCAACCUUUGCUCAGGCAGGCGCCCACCUCCCUCUGCCGCCAUCGUAACAGAACCCAAUUCAGUCCCCCCUCCUGGGCCCUCCCAGGCUUUCUGUUUACACUCUAGCUUGGUCCUCGUCCCAAUUCUGUGUUCCGUGUCACAACUAUUGCUUGACCCGUCAC